GCACUGCUGAGGAGUCCCAUACUAGGACGAAACGGCCGUCCAGUGN
rnacentral:hammerhead_ribozyme from 1 species